rnacentral:rRNA from 1 species
UACGGGGGGGCAAGCGUUGUUCGGAAUUACUGGGCGUAAAGGGCUCGUAGGCGGCCAACUAAGUCAGACGUGAAAUCCCUCGGCUUAACCGGGGAACUGCGUCUGAUACUGGAUGGCUUGAGUGUGGGAGAGGGAUGCGGAAUUCCAGGUGUAGCGGUGAAAUGCGUAGAUAUCUGGAGGAACACCGGUGGCGAAGGCGGCAUCCUGGACCAUGACUGACGCUGAUGAGCGAAAGCCAGGGAGCAACGGG